rnacentral:rRNA from 1 species
GAUGAACGCUGGCGGCGUGCCUAAUACAUGCAAGUCGAGCGAACGGACGAGAAGCUUGCUUUUCUGAUGUUAGCGGCGGACGGGUGAGUAACACGUGGAUAACCUACCUAUAAGACUGGGAUAACUUCGGGAAACCGGAGCUAAUACCGGAUAAUAUUUUGAACCGGAUGGUUCAAAAGUGAAAGACGGUCUUGCUGUCACUUAUAGAUGGAUCCGCGCUGCAUUAGCUAGUUGGUAAGGUAACGGCUUACCAAGGCAACGAUGCAUAGCCGACCUGAGAGGGUGAUCGGCCACACUGGAACUGAGACACGGUCCAGACUCCUACGGGAGGCAGCAGUAGGGAAUCUUCCGCAAUGGGCGAAAGCCUGACGGAGCAACGCCGCGUGAGUGAUGAAGGUCUUCGGAUCGUAAAACUCUGUUAUUAGGGAAGAACAUAUGUGUAAGUAACUGUGCACAUCUUGACGGUACCUAAUCAGAAAGCCACGGCUAACUACGUG